GACGAACGCUGGCGGCGUGCUUAACACAUGCAAGUAGAACGGAAAGGCCCUGCUUUUGUUGGGUGCGCAAGUGGCGCACGGGUGAGUAACACGUGAGUAACCUGCCCUUUACUUUGGGAUAACUUCAGGAAACUCGGUCUAAUACCGGAUAUGAGCUUCUGCUGCAUGGUGGGUGUUGGAAAGUUUCGGCGUUUUGGGAUGGACACGCGGCUUAUCAUCUUGUUGGUGGGGUAGUGGCUUACCAAGGCUUUGACGGGUAGCCGGCCUGCGAGGGUGACCGGGCACAGUGGGACUGAGGAAGCGGCAAGACUCCAACGGGGGGAAUGAGGGGAGAAUAUUGCACGAUAGGCGGAAGGCGUAAGGAGCAACUCCGCGUCCGAGAUGACUGUCUUCGGGUUGUAAACCGUGUUCGACUGUGAAGAAGAGUGAGUGACGGUAAUGUGUAAAGAAGCACCGGCUAACUACGUG
rnacentral:rRNA from 1 species